AUUGAACGCUGGCGGCAGGCUUAACACAUGCAAGUCGAGCGGAGUGAUGGUGCUUGCACUAUCACUUAGCGGCGGACGGGUGAGUAAUGCUUAGGAAUCUGCCAUUUAGUGGGGGACAACAUUCCGAAAGGAAUGCUAAUACCGCAUACGUCCUACGGGAGAAAGCAGGGGAUCUUCGGACCUUGCGCUAAAUGAUGAGCCUAAGUCGGAUUAGCUAGUUGGUGGGGUAAAGGCCUACCAAGGCGACGAUCUGUAGCGGGUCUGAGAGGAUGAUCCGCCACACUGGGACUGAGACACGGCCCAGACUCCUACGGGAGGCAGCAGUGGGGAAUAUUGGACAAUGGGCGGAAGCCUGAUCUAGCCAUGCCGCGUGUGUGAAGAAGGCCUUUUGGUUGUAGAGCACUUUAAGCGAGGAGGAGGCUACUAGUACUAAUACUACUGGAUAGUGGACGUUACUCGCAGAAUAAGCACCGGCUAACUCUGUGCCAGCCGCCGCCGUAAAAC
rnacentral:rRNA from 1 species